ACGGGUGAGUAACGCGUGGGAAUCUACCGUGCCCUGCGGAAUAGCUCCGAGAAACUGGAAUUAAUACCGCAUACGCCCUACGGGGGAAAGAUUUAUCGGGGUAUGAUGAGCCCGCGUUGGAUUAGCUAGUUGGUGGGGUAAAGGCCUACCAAGGCGACGAUCCAUAGCUGGUCUGAGAGGAUGAUCAGCCACAUUGGGACUGAGACACGGCCCAAACUCCUACGGGAGGCAGCAGUGGGGAAUAUUGGACAAUGGGCGCAAGCCUGAUCCAGCCAUGCCGCGUGAGUGAUGAAGGCCUUAGGGUUGUAAAGCUCUUUCACCGGAGAAGAUAAUGACGGUAUCCGGAGAAGAAGCCCCGGCUAACUUCGUGCCAGCAGCCGCGGUAAUACGAAGGGGGCUAGCGUUGCUCGGAAUUACUGGGCGUAAAGCGCACGUAGGCGGAUAUUUAAGUCAGGGGUGAAAUCCCAGAGCUCAACUCUGGAACUGCCUUUGAUACUGGGUAUCUUGAGUAUGGAAGAGGUAAGUGGAAUUCCGAGUGUAGAGGUGAAAUUCGUAGA
rnacentral:rRNA from 1 species